CCUACGGGCGGCUGCAGUGGGGAAUAUUGGACAAUGGGGGCAACCCUGAUCCAGCCAUGCCGCGUGUGUGAAGAAGGCCCUCGGGUUGUAAAGCACUUUCAGUGAGGAAGAACGCCUGGUGGUUAAUACCCAUCAGGAAAGACAUCACUCACAGAAGAAGCACCGGCUAACUCCGUGCCAGCAGCCGCGGUAAUACGGAGGGUGCGAGCGUUAAUCGGAAUUACUGGGCGUAAAGCGCGCGUAGGUGGCUUGAUAAGCCGGUUGUGAAAGCCCCGGGCUCAACCUGGGAACGGCAUCCGGAACUGUCAAGCUAGAGUGCAGGAGAGGAAGGUAGAAUUCCCGGUGUAGCGGUGAAAUGCGUAGAGAUCGGGAGGAAUACCAGUGGCGAAGGCGGCCUUCUGGACUGACACCGACACUGAGGUGCGAAAGCGUGGGUAGCAAACAGGAUUAGAUACCCUAGUAGUC
rnacentral:rRNA from 1 species